rnacentral:rRNA from 1 species
GACGAACGCUGGCGGCGUGCCUAAUACAUGCAAGUCGAGCGGACUGAUUAAGAGCUUGCUCUUAUGACGUUAGCGGCGGACGGGUGAGUAACACAUGGGCAACCUGCCCUGUAGAUCGGGAUAACACCGAGAAAUCGGUGCUAAUACCGGGUAAUAUCUGAGAUCACAUGAUCUUAGGUUAAAAGAUGGCUCCGGCUAUCACUACAGGAUGGGCCCGCGGCGCAUUAGCUAGUUGGUAAGGUAAUGGCUUACCAAGGCGACGAUGCGUAGCCGACCUGAGAGGGUGAUCGGCCACACUGGGACUGAGACACGGCCCAGACUCCUACGGGAGGCAGCAGUAGGGAAUCUUCCGCAAUGGACGAAAGUCUGACGGAGCAACGCCGCGUGAGUGAUGAAGGGUUUCGGCUCGUAAAGCUCUGUUGUUAGGGAAGAAACAGUACCGAACGAACUAGGUCGGUACCUUGACGGUACCUAACCAGAAAGCCACGGCUAACUACGUG